rnacentral:lncRNA from 1 species
AGGGGCUGGGGGCCCCUGACUUUCGGGUCUGGGGUGAGAUUAAGAGAGCUAAGCGCUCGGACGCCUGGGCCCUGCGGGCGAAGGAGGCGGUGGCUGUGCGGACCGGGUGCCUGGCUCCAGGAUUCCCUCCGGGAUCCGCAUGACACUUUCUUUGCCAGGUGAGAUCCCGCCCGGAGGAACAAGGAAGAAAGCGCGGGCCGGGGAUUAGGAGGCGGAGGCGGACUCGGAGCCAGGGAACCAGGGUCCGGGCUGGAGCCGGAGUCGUGAGCGCGCGCCUGGCUCGUUCUGGGAGGACCGCGAGGUGCUGCGAAGUGGUGGUGACUGAUAGGGCAAUGGCAGGGGGGUGCCAGAUGCAUGCUGGAAGCUGGGUCUGAGCGGAAGCAGGAGCUGAGAGCUGGCCAGGAGUCAAGAGGUCGCAGAGAGUGCAGGGAGCCAGCUCUGGACUCUGGAGUCCCCCAGAGCUGGCUUUGUGAUGUUGGACAGUCACGCCCUCUCUCUGGCCGUGCAUUUCCUCUGUGCAACAUGCGGAGAACGAUCCAAGGGCCCUCCAUGCUGGACGCGGUGCUAGGCGUCAUGGACGCAGAGCGCCCGGACGCGGCUGCCGCCAAGCCCGACGCGGAACCCCGCUCCGGGACCCAGCCCCCCAAGGCCCGCUGCCGCCCCAACGCGGACCUGGAGCUGGACGACGUCAUCGGCCUCUAGGCUCCCCGCUUCCCCACCCUUCCCGCGCUGCACCUCACUUCUGUAUACAUAAACGGCCAAGUGUGUACCUGGGCUCUGACUUUUCACUUUGCACGUGGUAAGGGAUGACGUGGGGUGCGGCUCCUUUAAGAGGGCCCGAGGGCGUGGCCAGGCGGUGUCCCUUACAGAGGCGGCCGCUCCCUCAAUCCCUUUCAUCAAAUACUGAUCGCUU